UACGUAGGGCGCAAGCGUUGUCCGGAAUUAUUGGGCGUAAAGAGCUCGUAGGCGGCUUGUCACGUCGGAUGUGAAAGCCCGGGGCUUAACCCCGGGUCUGCAUUCGAUACGGGCAGGCUAGAGUGUGGUAGGGGAGAUCGGAAUUCCUGGUGUAGCGGUGAAAUGCGCAGAUAUCGGGAAGAACACCUAUGGCGAAGGCAGCUCUCUGGGACGGUACUGACGCUGAGACGCGAAAGCGUGGGGAGCAAACAGG
rnacentral:rRNA from 1 species